GCCUCGGUGGUAGCGCAGUAGGCAGCGCGUCAGUCCCAUAAUCUGAAGGUCGUGAGUCUGAUCCUCACCGGGGUGCA